AGGUUAAGUUAACAAGGGCGCAUGGUGAAUGCCUUGGCACUAGGAGCCGAUGAAGGACGGGACUAACACCGAUAUGCUUCGGGGAGCUGUACGUAAGCUAUGAUCCGGAGAUUUCCGAAUGGGGCAACCCAGCAGUUUUAAUCAACUGUUACCACUAGAUGAAUUCAUAGUCUAGUUGGAGGUAAACGCUGUGAACUGAAACAUCUCAUUAGCAGCAGGAAUAUAAAGAAAUUUCGAUUCCCUAAGUAGCGGCGAGCGAACGGGGAACAGCCCAAACCAAAGUGCUUGCACUUUGGGGUUGUAGGACUGAACAUUUGAGUUACCAAAGAACUUGAUAGUCGAAGGAUUUGGGAAAAUCCGCCAUAGAUGGUGAUAGCCCAGUAGAUUAAAUCAAAUUCUCUCAGUUCAGGAUCCUGAGUACGGCGGAACACGUGAAAUUCCGUCGGAAUCCGGGAGGACCAUCUCCCAAGGCUAAAUACUACCUAGUGACCGAUAGUGAACCAGUACCGUGAGGGAAAGGUGAAAAGCACCCCGGGAGGGGAGUGAAAUAGUUCCUGAAACCAUGUGCCUACAAUAAGUCAGAGCGCGUUAAUGCGUGAUGGCGUGCCUUUUGUAGAAUGAACCGGCGAGUUAUGAUCCCGUGCAAGGUUAAGACUAAAAAGUCGGAGCCGUAGCGAAAGCGAGUCUGAAAUGGGCGUUUUGAGUACGAGGUUAUAGACCCGAAACCAGGUGACCUAUCCAUGUCCAGGUUGAAGGUGCGGUAAAACGCACUGGAGGACCGAACCCGUGUAAGUUGAAAAUUGCUGGGAUGAGGUGUGGAUAGCGGUGAAAUUCCAAACGAACUUGGAGAUAGCUGGUUCUCUCCGAAAUAGCUUUAGGGCUAGCCUCGGAAUUAGGAUCAUGGAGGUAGAGCACUAUUUGGACUAGGGGCCCGUCUUGGGUUACUGAAUUCAGAUAAACUCCGAAUGCCAUUGAUUCAUAUCCGGGAGUCAGACGAUGAGUGAUAAGAUCCACCGUCGAAAGGGGAACAGCCCAGACCAUCAGUUAAGGUCCCUAAAUGUAUGCUAAGUGGAAAAGGAUGUGGAGUUGCAUAGACAACUAGGAUGUUGGCUCAGAAGCAGCCACCAUUUAAAGAGUGCGUAAUAGCUCACUAGUCGAGUGAUCCUGCGCCGAAAAUGUACCGGGGCUAAGCAUACUACCGAAACCAUGGAUGCGACCAUUAGGUCGCGUAUUAGAAAGCGUUCAAAGGGCGGUGAAGCAAGAUCGUGAGGACUUGUGGAGCGCUUAGAAGUGAGAAUGCCGGUAUGAGUAGCGAAAGAUAGGUGAGAAUCCUAUCCACCGAAUGACUAAGGUUUCCUGGGGAAGGCUCGUCCUCCCAGGGUUAGUCGGGACCUAAGUCGAGGCCGAGAGGCGUAGACGAUGGAUAACAGGUUGAGAUUCCUGUACUAGUUAAGUGCGUUUGAGCAAUGGAGGGACGCAGGAGGCUAAGAUGUGCAUUCUGUUGGAUUAGAAUGUCCAAGCAGUAAGUCUUGUGAAGAGUCAAAUGCUUUUCACUUUAAGGACAAGCUGUGAUGGGGAGCGAAAUUUAGUAGCGAAGCGUCUGAUGUCACACUGCCGAGAAAAGCUUCUAGUGAGUACUUAACUACCCGUACCGCAAACCGACACAGGUAGUCGAGGAGAGAAUCCUAAGGUGAGCGAGUGAACUCUCGUUAAGGAACUCGGCAAAAUGACCCCGUAACUUCGGGAGAAGGGGUGCUGAUCGCAAGAUCAGCCGCAGUGAAUAGGCCCAGGCGACUGUUUAUCAAAAACACAGGUCUCUGCAAAAUCGUAAGAUGACGUAUAGGGGCUGACGCCUGCCCGGUGCUGGAAGGUUAAAAGGAUGGGUUAGCUUCGGCGAAGCUCAGAAUUGAAGCCCCAGUAAACGGCGGCCGUAACUAUAACGGUCCUAAGGUAGCGAAAUUCCUUGUCGGGUAAGUUCCGACCCGCACGAAAGGCGUAACGAUCUGGGCACUGUCUCAACGAGAGACUCGGUGAAAUUAUAUUGUCCGUGAAGAUGCGGACUACCCGCGACAGGACGGAAAGACCCCAUGGAGCUUUACUGUAGCUUGAUAUUGAGUGUUUGUACAGCUUGUACAGGAUAGGUAGGAGCCAUAGAAACCGGAACGCUAGUUUCGGUGGAGGCGUUGGUGGGAUACUACCCUCGCUGUAUGACCACUCUAACCCGCACCACUAAUCGUGGUGGGAGACAGUGUCAGGUGGGCAGUUUGACUGGGGCGGUCGCCUCCUAAAAAGUAACGGAGGCGCCCAAAGGUUCCCUCAGAAUGGUUGGAAAUCAUUCGCAGAGUGUAAAGGCACAAGGGAGCUUGACUGCGAGACAGACAGGUCGAGCAGGGACGAAAGUCGGGCUUAGUGAUCCGGUGGUACCGUAUGGAAGGGCCAUCGCUCAACGGAUAAAAGCUACCCUGGGGAUAACAGGCUUAUCUCCCCCAAGAGUCCACAUCGACGGGGAGGUUUGGCACCUCGAUGUCGGCUCAUCGCAUCCUGGGGCUGUAGUCGGUCCCAAGGGUUGGGCUGUUCGCCCAUUAAAGCGGUACGCGAGCUGGGUUCAGAACGUCGUGAGACAGUUCGGUCCCUAUCCGUCGCGGGCGUAGGAAAUUUGAGAGGACCUGUCCUUAGUACGAGAGGACCGGGAUGGACAUACCUCUGGUGUACCAGUUGUGCCGCCAGGCGCAUCGCUGGGUAGCUACGUAUGGAUGUGAUAAACGCUGAAAGCAUCUAAGUGUGAAACACACCUCGAGAUGAGAUUUCCCAUUCCUUUAUGGAAGUAAGACCCCUGAAAGAUGAUCAGGUAGAUAGGUUAGAAGUGGCAGUGCGGUGACGCAUGAAGCGGACUAAUACUAAUCGGUCGAGGACUUAACCAAG
rnacentral:rRNA from 1 species